GGACUACCGGGGUAUCUAAUCCUGUUUGCUCCCCACGCUUUCGUGCCUCAGCGUCAGGAAAGGCCCAGCCGCCCGUCUUCACCAUCGGCAUUCCUGUAGAUAUCUACGCAUUUCACCGCUCCACCUACAGUUCUGGCGGCCCCUACCUUCCUCAAGACCCGCAGUAUGCCCCGCUGUUCCACGGUUGAGCCGUGGGCUUUCACGAAGCACUUGCGGGCCGGCCUACGCACCCUUUAAGCCCAGUGAUUCCGAUUAACGCUCGGGGCCUCUGUCUUACCGCGGCGGCUGGCAC
rnacentral:rRNA from 2 species